UAUUAGUGAUGCGGUAAAUCCCUGAGAAGAGACUUAAAUCUCUCCCAUACAUAAUAAAGAUUUUUAGCUUGCUUUUUUUUUAAACUCGGGAUCUCUCUCCUUAAAUG
rfam:Capsicum annuum cultivar Zunla-1 chromosome 4, whole genome shotgun sequence